GGUUGGCUGGUCUUGAACUCGUGACCUCAGGUGAUCCUCCCGCCUCCGCCUCCCAAGGUGUUGGGAUUACAGCCGUGAGCCACUGCAUCUGGCCUGUCUGUUCAUUUCAUAAACAUCUGAGAGGGUCUUUGCUACAGGACUUCAGGAGCACUAGCAUCGAUGGUGGCAGAUGAAAAAGCAGAUUUUUUUCCCCUGAAGCUCUUUAAUAAUGGCAAAAGUUAAAAAGUGUUUUCUCUGUAGUCCUGAAUUUACUGAAUGUAUUCCCUUCCUGAAUAAAUUGACUGUUCCCUUAGUGUAGGGCUAUAACCUGGUUUUGGUGGAGUCCCUUCCAGGUUCUAACAUUUGUGUGACCUUGAACAGGGUACUUCUUAACCUUUCUGAGUCUCAGGUUUAUUCAUUUCUAAAGUGCAGGUGGUACUGAUACCUUUUAGGGUUGGUUGAGGAUUUAAUGGGAUAAUGAAUGUAGACUGCUGUGCCAACAGUGAGCUUUCAAUAAAAGGUAUCUGUUGUAAUUCUCAAA